AGGGCGUUUGGUGAAUGCCUUGGCAGCAAGAGGCGAUGAAGGACGUGAUACUCUGCGAUAAGUCAUGGGGAGCUGAGAAUAAGCUUUGAUCCAUGAAUUUCCGAAUGGGGCAACCCACCUGACAGUUGAUUAUAAUUGCCUUAGGGCGAUUUAUAAUUGGCUGAAACAGGUACUUCCUACCUGAAUACAUAGGGUUUGAAGAGCGAACCCGGGGAACUGAAACAUCUAAGUACCCGGAGGAAAGGACAUCAAUUGAUACUCCCCUAGUAGCGGCGAGCGAACGGGGACCAGCCGAGCCUUGAGAGUGAGAAGAAUGACCUGGGAAGGUCAGCCAUAGCGGGUGAUAGCCCCGUAUUUGAAGCUCGAUAGGACGUAUUAAGUAGGGCGGGACACGUGAAAUCCUGUCUGAAGAUCGGAGGACCACCUUCGAAGGCUAAGUACUCCUUGCUGACCGAUAGUGAACCAGUACCGUGAGGGAAAGGUGAAAAGCACCCCGACGAGGGGAGUGAAACAGACCUGAAACCGAACGCCUACAAUCAGUCGGAGCUUCCUUGUGAAGUGACGGCGUACCUUUUGUAUAAUGGGUCAUCGACUUGGUCUCACGUGCAAGCUUAAGCCGUUAGGUGUAGGCGCAGCGAAAGCGAGUCUUAAUAGGGCGUCGAGUUCGUGGGAUCAGACCCGAAACCGAGUGAUCUAGGCAUGUCCAGGAUGAAGGUACGGUAACACGUACUGGAGGUCCGAACCCACACCUGUUGAAAAAGGUCGGGAUGAGGUGUGCCUAGGGGUGAAAGGCCAAUCAAACUCGGAGAUAGCUGGUUCUCUGCGAAAUCUAUUUAGGUAGAGCGUCGUGUCUUACCCCGGGGGGUAGAGCACUGGAUGGGUAAUGGGGCCCCACAGGCUUACUGAUCCUAACCAAACUCCGAAUACCCGGGAGUACAAUCACGGCAGACACACAGCGGGUGCUAACGCCCGUUGUGGAGAGGGAAACAACCCUGACCUCCAGCUAAGGCCCCUAAUUCAUGGCUAAGUGGGAAAGCAGGUGGGACGACCAAAACAACCAGGAGGUUGGCUUAGAAGCAGCCAUCCUUUAAAGAUAGCGUAACAGCUCACUGGUCUAAUCAAGUUGUCCUGCGGCGAAGAUGUAACGGGGCUCAAGCCAUGAGCCGAAGCUGAGGACGCGUAAGCGUGGUAGCAGAGCGUAGUGUGAUAAAACCUAUUCCUCUUUAGGGUCUUCGGAUCCUGCGGAGGAUCGGGUUUGGCAAUGAAGCCGGGGCGUGAGCCACCGGUGGAGCGAUCACUAGCGAGAAUGAUGACAUGAGUAGCGACAAAGAGUGUGAGAGACACUCUCGCCGAAAGUCCAAGGGUUCCUGCUUAAAGCUAAUCUGAGCAGGGUAAGCCGGCCCCUAAGCCGAGGCCGAAAGGCGUAGGCGAUGGGAACCAGUUUAAUAUUACUGGGCCAGGAGAUGGUGACGGAUCGUCAGAGCUGCAUGUCCUUAUCGGAUUGGACAUGCUUGGCAGCGGUCCCAGGAAAUAGCCCUCCAUCCGACCGUACCCUAAACCGACACAGGUGGACUGGUAGAGAAUACCAAGGCGCUUGAGAGAACGAUGUUGAAGGAACUCGGCAAAAUACCUCCGUAAGUUCGCGAGAAGGAGGCCCGGGCCAUGAGGUCCGGGGGCACAAACCAGGGGGUGGCGACUGUUUAUUAAAAACACAGGGCUCUGCGAAGUCGCAAGACGACGUAUAGGGUCUGACGCCUGCCCGGUGCCUGAAGGUUAAAAGGAGGGGUGAGAGCUCUGAAUUGAAGCCCAGGUAAACGGCGGCCGUAACUAUAACGGUCCUAAGGUAGCGAAAUUCCUUGUCGGGUAAGUUCCGACCUGCACGAAUGGCGUAACGACUUCCCCGCUGUCUCCAACAUCGACUCAGCGAAAUUGAAUUGCCUGUCAAGAUGCAGGCUUCCCGCGGUUAGACGGAAAGACCCCGUGCACCUUUACUACAGCUUCAGACUGGCAUCAGGACUGCGAUGUGCAGGAUAGGUGGUAGGCUUUGAAACAGACACGCCAGUGUUUGCGGAGCCUCCCUUGAGAUACCACCCUUCGCAUUCUUGAUGUCUAACCGCGCACCGUUAUCCGGUGCCGGGACCCUCUGUGGCGGGUAGUUUGACUGGGGCGGUCGCCUCCCAAAGAGUAACGGAGGCGCGCGAAGGUUGGCUCAGAGCGGUCGGAAAUCGCUCGUUGAGUGCAAUGGCAUAAGCCAGCCUGACUGCGAGACUGACAAGUCGAGCAGAGUCGAAAGACGGCCAUAGUGAUCCGGUGGUCCCGAGUGGAAGGGCCAUCGCUCAACGGAUAAAAGGUACGCCGGGGAUAACAGGCUGAUACUGCCCAAGAGUCCAUAUCGACGGCAGUGUUUGGCACCUCGAUGUCGGCUCAUCUCAUCCUGGGGCUGGAGCAGGUCCCAAGGGUACGGCUGUUCGCCGUUUAAAGAGGUACGUGAGCUGGGUUUAGAACGUCGUGAGACAGUUCGGUCCCUAUCUGCCGUGGGUGUAGGAGACUUGAGAGGAGUUGCCCCUAGUACGAGAGGACCGGGGUGAACGAUCCACUGGUGGACCUGUUGUUGCGCCAGCAGCAGUGCAGGGUAGCUAUGAUCGGACAGGAUAACCGCUGAAGGCAUCUAAGCGGGAAGCCCCCCUCAAAACAAGGUCUCCCUGAGGGCCGUGGAAGACCACCACGUCAAUAGGCCGGAGAUGUAAGCAUGGCAACAUGCUCAGUUGACCGGUACUAAUCGCCCGACAGGCUUGA
rnacentral:rRNA from 1 species